GACGUUUUCAAAGUUUUAAUUUGAGAAAACAAAAAUAACCUUAACUAGAACAUUUAUGUGAGCUGCUGGAUGGGCUACAUCUGUCUUCAAAGACCUCUGCCACAGCGACCCCAUCUCCCGUUCCUAAGGAUCAUGAUUUAGGGUCUAACUCGGUUCAAAGAGUGACCCCAUUUAACCGAUCAUUUCAGCAGAGUCAGAAGACAGGCGGCAGGCUGAGAUUUGACAAUUUAUGCACUCUGCUGUAAAGACAACAAGACUACAUCUGACAUCUUCAGCUCACUGGUACAGUGAUAUGAGACCCCUAAACAUUAAUUUUACAACAAUAGCUUAAAUUUAAAAAGUGCUGUUUAUUAUACUAAAUCUCUGUUUGCUCUGUUUGCAGCUAAAGUUACCUGAAAUGCAGCCCAUGGAUUCUGUGCACAAGCGUGGCGGCGAACUUCCCAUGUUGUCAGGAUAUCAGUUUCUGGUUUACUUUCGCAUCGCCCAGUGCAUGACUGGACUGGGACGUUAAUUCCGCCCUGGCAUUUUUGACCAGCUUCGGCCCUCUACCACUUUUGUCGAAGGGGGAGAGGGGGGGGUUGUUUUUAGUGCGAGUGAUAGGUUGUGCUGCUGUCAUUGCCUUUCCUGCAUACAUGUCCGAUUCGCAAUUGCAUUCGCGUUCCGUGCAUAAGCGCUCGAUUAACGCUUCUAAUCCGUCCGUCUCUCUGCUCUAGCGUCCGUUUAGGCCCAAAAAGUACAUUGGCCCACCGGGAAAAUGCCCGGUAUGCCCGAUGGCCAAUCCAGCCCUGCCCAUGUGGGUAUUUCUAAAAAAGGGAUAGUUCUCCCAAAAAUGCGAAAGAGGAAAACAAAAAUGAAAUGUUUUCUAUAACCAAUAUCAACCAUCAGCAUGAUAUCAGAAAAGUUUUGAGUUCUCAGUUUGUAGACGCCUUAAGCUGAGCUGUUUCCUUAUAAUGGACCUCUAUGGAGGAGGAAGCAUGUAUCUAAUCAGUGGAAUAAGGGCUCUUUUGUCAGCAGUUAGUGCUUAUUAAAUGUAAAAUUUAACAGAAAUGUGGUUUUUCCCCAGUCGUUGUUAAGCUAUGUUAAGAAAUAGCAGUGCGAAGGUAGUGCUUAUUAAAUGUAAAAUUUGACAGAAAUGUGGUUUUUCCCCAGUCGUUGUUAAGAUAUGUUAAGAAAUGGCGGUGUGAAGGUAAACUGGAAACUGAUAUCCCGACUUCUGACAACAUCUGACGUUCGUCACUACGCUUGUGCACAGAGUCCAUUGAUGUCCAUCAAAUAAACGACCAGCAAAAAAACAUCAAUAAAAGAAUUUCUGCCCUCAAAAGCUCACUAGAAUCUAAAGCAUCUGACCUCCUACUCCUACAUUAUAAAAAACCGCUGAAGAGUCUGAAAUCAGCCACUUGUUCACAUAUUUACUUUUUUGAAUGGCAUAUAGUGCACUAGAUAGGGGACAGGGAAUGAUUUAGGUGGUACCUAAAUACACUGGCAAAAAAAAAGAGUACAAAGCCGUACCUUUUCCGCCGUUGGGGUUCCUUUUUGUUCCUUUAUGGGUAUGCAGCCCAUAAAAUGUUGGUAUGUUAUUGCACCCUAGGGACCUAUUUGUGUGUCUUAAGGAUCUAUUGUGUACCAGUUAAAUUCUAGUGGUACUAAACAUUCAACUGUACAUUCAAAGGUACACAAUAGGUCCUUAUGGUGAAAUAGUGUACCCCAAAAAGUACAUUUGAUUAUGUACAGAAAAUGAUUGUACUUUUUUCUGACAGUGUUGGACAUUGUUUAUGCCAUUUUAGUUGGUCAGGAAUCAAACACAAACAUUUGUCGUAUUGUGUCAUUUUUACGUAUGUGUAAAUAUGCUCUGUACACUAAUAAGCUUGUCUUGUUUUCAUCUCUCAUCCUGGGACACCCGAGUUUGACAGACCCAGCUCUAGUUUGACUGGAUGCUCAUCCCAGA